UAGGAAGGACGAACGAGGCUCCACCGACAGUAGCCUGUUUCUGUGGACUGACCUAACCAUAUAGCACGUGGCAUGCUCUCAUCCAUAUCUUUACACUUGCUGUCGUUCUAUAUCUCCUGGUUCUCAUCGAACAAGAGAACAGAAGCCACAAGCUCAUUCUUCCCCAACUCAUCCAUGGCAUAGGUGUACACAGAUUCAUGGAGAGAGGUACGGAAGGAGGGUGCUGUUAAGCCAUAUGCGUAUUCCCUCUCUUGAUUUUCCUUCCUUGGCAUUCGAUUUGGCUUCUUCCUUUGUUUAUUUGGAGUUCGUCACUGGUCUCACAUGAGGAAGGAGAGCAAUAGAGCUUUAAUUAGUACAAGAUGGCUCCGUGCGUGCUGCAGGAAAAAUUAAGCAUGCUCCUUCACUGAAUCGGAGCAGCAGUCAGCAGGUUGGAAGAUGAGCGGUGUCCCUUAGGGAGCUUGGUACAAUUGCUUUUCUUCCUCUUCCUUGUACCAUCUGAAUUUUCAUGAGAUCUUUGCCUAAUUCCCUACAUAUUACAUGCUUGGUUAGGUAUAUUUAAGUAAGGUAAAUAAAUCACAGGAAACAUAAGACAUUUAACUAACCAUGCUAUUGUUCCUUGAGGGUGCUCCCGGUGGAAUAUUAUCAUGUGCUUGCGGUGAGGAUUUAACCUGUACUCCACCUUGUGCAGCCUGGUGGGCUUUAUAUGCUUCGCACGUUCUUUUGUUGUGACCAGUACUUUUGCACCAACCACAUUUACUUACUGUUCCUACCUUCGAUAACUUAGUUGCUUUUGGUUUCUCAUGUCCUUCUCUUGUACGCUCUUUUUUAGGCCUUCUAGGGAGUUUCACAUAACCUGGUGCUACAGGUCUUGGAUUAUCUGAUGUUGGCCAGUGUUGCAUGCCCUCAACAGGUUCUAGGCAAUGUGCAUAUGUCCUCUUAAAAUGUUGUAUCGUGUAACAUUCAGCUACAUAAGCAUCUAGAUUGUUAGUAAGCAAGUGUAUGCAUGAUAUAGCAUGAUGGCAAGGGAGUCCUGACAGUUCCCAGUACCUACAACUGCACUUCCUCUCAUUCAAAUUCACGGUGUAUUUGUGAGUACUAAAAUACUUCACCUCAAACUUGUUUGCACCAUUUGAAAUUGCUUCACAAUUAGCAGUCAACUUGAUGUAAGAAUUCAUUUUCUUGUUGAUAUUGGGACAGAUUAGGCCUGACCAUCUAUCACACUUUGUCCUCUGUUCCUGAAUCCUAACCAUUACCUUUCUCCUAAUGGUUUCCAGCAUAGAAAUGAUUGGAAAAAAUCUUGCUUCAACAAUCCACUUGUUGAAGCUCUCACAUAUGUUAUUGUCUACACUAUCACAGUUGGAUCCUAAUCUGAAGUAAGCUCUGGACCAGUGUUCAGGAGUUGUUUUAAGAAUAGCAUUGGCUCCUUCUCUUGUUUUUUGUGCAAGCUUAGCCCUAGCCAAAUUGAACAACUGAACAUUUGGUGCCUUUGCACAUCUCCAAAAGAGUUUCUGCCACUCCUUUGUCUUGUAGGUUUUCCUCCAGUUGGCAUAAAUAUGCCUUGCACAAUUUCUAUGUUCAGCCUGCGGUGCCCAAAAGCUUACAGCAUUGAUAAUGCCCUUUUGCUGGUCAGAAAUUAUCACCCAACCAGUACCAUCACCCAAUUGCACAUCCAUGAAUAACAGAUAACAGAACCAGUCCCAUGAUUCAUUAUUCUCUUUUUCUACCACUGCCCAUGCUAUUGGGUACAUCUGAUUGUUUGCAUCCCUCCCUAAGGCACAUAAUAGCUCUCCAUUUGUUGCGCCUUUAAAGAAGCAACCAUCAAGACCUAUCACUCUCCUACAGCCAGCCAUAAAUCCCUUCUUUAUGGCAUCUAGGCACACAUAAAUUCUCUGAAAAGUAGGCACUUUGAUGUUUGGUUCAAGCUUAACAACAACAGUUGAUCCAGGGUUACUUCUUAGCAAUUCAGCUUGAUACUCAUAUAUUUUGCCAUAUUGCCCCUUUGUUGCAUCAAGCCACUUGAGCAUCACAAGCUUCUUGGCUCUCUUCACUUUGUGAAUGCUAACAUCAGCAAACAUUUCCUCUGAAAUAUGAGACUUUAGACUCUCUAUCCUCCAGCUUGGGUUGGCUCUAAUUAGCUUUUCAUAUUUCAUAGCUAUUCUUUUUGCAGUCACUAACUUGUUAUCUUUCCUUUGCGGGCAUGUGUGUAAAUCAUUGAAGGCUUACAACGCUCAUCUCAUCAGGCAUGUUGGAUAAAGAAAGGACUCACCUCAGGGAUCAGACUCCUACGACUGUCAAGAAUCGGCCGCCUCUACCGUUGCCGCCGACUUUGGUGGCGUGAGCGCUAGGGUUCGUUAUGAGGAAACCACCAAAUGGCGUCAGGAUUAGUCACCACGUGACAUGGCUGAUAGAUGAUUAGUCAGCGAAUGACGUGGCCAAAACCGAUGUUAAACCGAGGUGGAGAUGAUUGGUGCACCGGUUCAAUUAGUUAAGGGGCCGAUUUGCACCAAUUAAAAUAUAAGGGAUGAAUUUCACACUUCUUCAAUACUUGAGGGAUGAAAAAUACACUUUUUCCUUU